ACACGUAGGGGGCAAGCGUUGUCCGGAAUUACUGGGCGUAAAGGGUGCGUAGGCGGUCUGUUAAGUCGGAUGUGAAAGACCUGGGCUCAACCCGGGAUGUGCAACCGAGACUGGCGGACUUGAGUGCAGGAGAGGGAAGUGGAAUUUCUAGUGUAGCGGUGGAAUGCGUAGAUAUUAGGAAGAACACCAGUGGCGAAGGCGGCUUUCUGGACUGUAACUGACGCUGAGGCACGAAAGCGUGGGGAGCGAACAGGAUUAGAUACCCUGGUAGUCCACGCCGUAAACGAUGGAUACUAGGUGUAGGUAUCGUAGGAUAUCUGUGCCGGAGUUAACGCAAUAAGUAUCCCGCCUGGGGAGUACGGCCGCAAGGUUGAA
rnacentral:rRNA from 1 species